UGGUUCUUCUGUUGUCUUUGUUUUCUGUUUCAGAAAGUUGGGAUAAAAUCACUCCGGAACUGGACCUGGGCCGGAUCAGGUUCUGCAGGACCGGGUGAACGUUGGGGCUUCCAAAAAGUUCUGAACAGCCUCCAGAACCGGAUCCAGCUGCUUGCCUUUAACGGUUCUGGAACGGUUCUGUUCUCCAUCUGCAGAUGGAGAGGUCAGAGUUCAUCUGGGUCAGAACCAAAACUCUCACACCACCUGCAGAGCAUGUUCUGGUCCGGUCCGUUCUCCCUAAAACCUGAACUGAGCUCAGCCACGUGACGGGUCCAAACCCAGAUCUGGUUCUGAUCCGGUUCUUCCAGAACAGGUUCUGCUGCUGGUCCAUGAAGUUCUAAACGGGCCCUCAGACACCUGCCGACCCGGCAUUUCCAGAACCAGAUGAGGUUCAGAACCUGACUGAGAACAGAAAUGUUAGAAGCUUUGGGUCAGAACCGAGCCCAUCUGGUUAAUAUCUGGAUUGCACUGGGUUCUUUGGAGAAUCUCGACCCAGAAGAACCAGGUCAUUCGGUUCUGACCAAGAGGAAGAUGGACCGCAGCACGAGGCUGCAGUUACUUCUUCCGGCCAGCAGGGGUCGCCCUCAGCUGGGAGGAACACUAGAACCGGACCAAACACCAGAACAUAAAUAUUUGUUCUGUGCUGCAAAUUCGGGACUAGAGUCCAUAUAAACCGAACCUCCAGAACUGAGCAGAACAAUUCAGAGGUAGAAACGGACCAGACUGGCUCCGAGCUUUUACUUUGAAGUCGUGCCCCGCUACGCCGGAAGUGUGCGUACGGCGGCUCGCAGGACUCGGUCCGCCUCCAGGUCAUCAUGGGAGACUCCGUGUGCGAAGAACUCGAGGACCUGGUCCACUUCUCCGUCCCAGACCUGCCCGCGAGAGGCUACGUCGUGAUGGAGGAGAUCCGACGUCAAGGCAAACUGUGUGACGUCACUCUCAAGGUCGGGGAGCAUAAGUUCAGCGCUCACCGGAUCGUCCUCGCCGCCUCCAUCCCGUAUUUCCACGCCAUGUUCACCAACGACAUGGUGGAGCGCAAGCAGGACGAGAUCCUGAUGCAGGGCAUGGACCCCAGCGCCCUGGAGGCUUUGAUUAACUUCGCCUACAGCGGCCGUGUCGCCAUCGACCAGCAGAACGUCCAGGCGCUGCUGAUUGGCUCCAGCUUCCUGCAGCUGCAGAACGUGAAGGACGCCUGCUGCUCCUUCCUGCAGGAGAGGUUGCACCCCAAGAACUGCCUGGGCGUGCGUCAGUUUGCGGAGGCCAUGAUGUGCACGGCGCUGUACGACGCGGCAAACGGCUUCCUGCAGCGCCACUUUGUGGAGGCGGCGCUGUCUGAGGAGUUCCUGGCACUGCGGGCCGAGGAGGUUCUGGAGCUGAUGGGCUGCGACGAGCUCAACGUCAAGGCCGAGGAGCAGGUGUUUGAGGCGGCGCUGGCUUGGGUCCACCAUGACCGGGACCGGAGGAAGACUCUGCUGCCGGAGCUGCUGGCCAAGAUCCGGCUUCCUCUCUGCCAGCCGCGCUUCCUGUCCGACCGGGUCCAGCAGGAUGAGCUGAUCCGCUGCUGCCACAGGUGCAGGGACCUGGUGGAUGAGGCCAAAGACUUCCACCUGGUCCUGGAGCGCCGCCCUCACCUGCCCUCUUUCAAGACGCGGCCGCGGUGCUGCACCUCCGUCUCAGGGCUCAUCUACGCCGUGGGCGGCCUCAACAGCUCAGGUGACUCCUUGAACCUGGUGGAGGUGUUUGACCCGGUGGGGAACUUCUGGGAGCGCUGCCAGCCAAUGAGGACGGCCCGCAGUCGAGUGGGCGUGGCCGUCGUUAACGGCCUGCUGUACGCCAUCGGCGGAUACGACGGCCAAUCGCGACUCAGCACAGUGGAGGUGUACAACCCGGAGACGGACGGCUGGACUCAGGUGUCCAGCAUGAACAGCCAGCGCAGCGCCAUGGGAACCGUGGUCAUCGACGGCCAUAUUUACGUCUGUGGCGGAUACGAUGGGAAAUCCUCUCUGAACUCUGUGGAGUGUUACUCUCCAGAAACCGACAGGUGGAGCGUGGUGACGGAGAUGAGCGUGAGUCGCAGCGCCACCGGCGUCACCGUGUUUGAUGGGCGGAUCUUCGUGUCUGGCGGCCAUGACGGCCUGCAGAUAUUCAACACGGUGGAGUACUACAACCACCACACGGACCGCUGGCACCCGGCGCCGGCCAUGCUCAACAAGCGCUGCCGCCAUGGCGCCGCCUCGCUCGGAAGCCACAUGUACGUUGCCGGCGGCUACGACGGCUCUGGCUUUCUGAGCGGCGUGGAGGUGCUGGCUGGCGUGUCGGGUCAGUGGAGCCUCCUGGUGGCCAUGAACACGCGGCGCAGCCGGGUGUCGCUGGUGUCGACGGCGGGCCGGCUGUACGCCGUGGGCGGCUACGACGGCCAGUCCAACCUCAGCUCGGUGGAGAUGCUGAACCCCGACACCAACCGCUGGGUGUUCAUGGCGCCCAUGGCGAGCCACGAGGGCGGCGUCGGCGUCGGCUGCGUUCUGCUGCAGCCCGCCUAGGGAGGGCGGGGCCCCCGGCGCUGACCAGAGCUUCUCGGUAGGACGGAGAGGCUCGCCUACCUCGGCAUUCUGGGAAAGACUGUAGAGCUUGCAGCGGCUGCUACAAUUAAUUACUGGCUUCUGAUUGGUCAGAGGGAGUCCCAUAGAGCUGCUAGCUGUAGCAACAGCACCUGGAGGGGCGGGGCUACGUGACCUGCAAGGGAGGAGUCACAGAGGCCACUGACGGAAGUGGUGGAGCUUCAGGGACAUCAGGUGGUGGAGGUGACAUCAUCAGCACCUGGUCAGGUGCUUCCAGGACGUUUCCAGGACCUCCAGGACCUCUGACCCUCCAGGAUCUCCAGGACCUCCAGGACCUCUGAUCCUCCAGGAUCUCCAGGACCUCUGAUCCUCCAGGAUCUCCUGGACCUCCAGGACCUCUGAUCCUCCAGGACCUCUGAUCCUCCAGGAACUCCAGGACCUCCAGGAUCUCCAGGACCUCCAGGACCUCUGACCCUCCAGGAUCUCCUGGACCUCCAGGAUCUCCAGGACCUCUGACCCUCCAGGAUCUCCUGGAUCUCCAGGACCUCUGAUCCUCCAGGAACUCCAGGACCUCCAGGAUCUCCAGGACCUCCCCUGAUGUGGUGCUUCUACUGUGCUGCUUUGGUAUCUUCUCCUGAUAUUUAUUAUGAUUUCUUUCAGUGAAUAAAAUCAUAAAUCCUCA